rnacentral:rRNA from 1 species
CCUACGGGCGGCAGCAGUGGGGAAUAUUGCGCAAUGGGCGAAAGCCUGACGCAGCGACGCCGCGUGAGGGAUGAAGGUCUUCGGAUCGUAAACCUCUGUCAGCAGGGAAGAACGGUCACUGUGCUAAUCAGCAGUGAAUUGACGGUACCUGCAAAGGAAGCACCGGCUAACUCCGUGCCCGCAGCCGCGGUAAUACGGAGUGUGCGAGAGUUAAUCGGAAUUACUGGGCGUAAAGCGCGCGUAGGCGGUAUGUCAAGUCAAGGGUGAAAUCCCCGCGCUCAACGUGGGAACUGCCUUUGAAACUGGCAAACUGGAGUGUGUGAGGGGAUAGUGGAAUUCCAGGUGUAGGAGUGAAAUCCGUAGAUAUCUGGAGGAACAUCAGUGGCGAAGGCGACUAUCUGGCACAUAACUGACGCUGAGGAGCGAAAGCGUGGGUAGCAAACAGGAUUAGAUACCCAGUAGUC